rnacentral:rRNA from 1 species
UUGGCCUCAAAUCGAGUAGGAUUACCCGCUGAACUUAAGCAUAUCAAUAAGCGGAGGAAAAGAAACUAACAAGGAUUCCCCUAGUAACGGCGAGUGAAGAGGGAAGAGCUCAAAUUUUGAAUCUGGCGUCUUUGGCGUCCGAGUUGUAAUCUAGAGAAGUGUUUUCCGUGGCGGACCAUGCAUAAGUCUCCUGGAAUGGAGUGUCAUAGAGGGUGAGAAUCCCGUUUGUGGCAUGGACUACCGUUGCUCUUGUGAUACACUCUCAACGAGUCGAGUUGUUUGGGAAUGCAGCUCUAAAUGGGUGGUAAAUGCCAUCUAAAGCUAAAUAUUGGCGAGAGACCGAUAGCGAACAAGUACCGUGAGGGAAAGAU